CCUACGGGAGGCAGCAGUGGGGAAUAUUGCACAAUGGGGGAAACCCUGAUGCAGCGACGCCGCGUGAGUGAAGAAGUAUUUCGGUAUGUAAAGCUCUAUCAGCAGGGAAGAAAUAGCGACCUUUGGGUCGCCAGACGGUACCUGAUUAAGAAGCCCCGGCUAACUACGUGCCAGCAGCCGCGGUAAUACGUAGGGGGCAAGCGUUAUCCGGAUUUACUGGGUGGAAAGGGAGCGUAGCCUGCAGCGCAAGUCUGAAGGGAAAUGCCGGGGCUUAACCCCGGAACUGCUUUGGAAACUGUUCAGCUAGAGUGCAGGAGAGGUAAGUGGAAGUCCUAGUGUAGCGGUGAAAUGCGUAGAUAUUAGGAGGAACACCAGUGGCGAAGGCGGCUUACUGGACUGUAACUGACGUUGAGGCUCGAAAGCGUGGGGAGCAAACAGGAUUAGAUACCCCAGUAGUC
rnacentral:rRNA from 1 species